CACACACACACACACACCUACAGGUACACACACACACACACACACACACACACACACACACACACACACACACACACACACACACACACACACACACACACACACACACACACACACACACACCAAACCACAUUGAAGAGCCUUGAACAUGUGCCGUAGAGCCUUAAUUGUCCCCAAGUGUGUGUGUGUGUGUGUGUGUGUGUGUGUGUGUGUGUGUGUGUGACAGACAGACUGUUUUCCAUUGGGAAUUGUGGGAAAUUCUCCACGGGUAUGCUAUCGCAGCCGAGUCCCUACAAUAGUCACUCAUCAGUGAUGUCACUGAGGAUUCUGUAGCACAGCUCUUCCUUGCAUGCGCAUUUGUGGUGUGUGCAUACAUACGUGAGUGUGUGUGUGUGUGUGUGUGUGUGUGUGUGUGUGUGUGUGUGUGUGUGUGUGUGUGUGUGUGUGUGUGUGUGUGUGUGUGUGUGUGUGUGUGUGUGUGUGUGUGUGUGUGUGCGUGCGUACCGCAGGUACAUUGUGUGUUUGUUGUGACAUGAGAUGGUUGUCUGUUCUGCGAUGAUGAUGAUGAUGAUGAUGAUGAUGAUGGUCUGUUCUGAGGUGAUGAGUAUGUGUAUAUUCUGAGCUACUAUGGUGAUGAGUAUGUCGUUGUCAAUGAUUAUGUUUUAUGAGUUCAAUAAAGUCUACUGGAUCCACCACA